rnacentral:tmRNA from 1 species
GGGGCCGUAAAGGUUUCGACAGGGAUUUUGAGGUAUGAUAAGCGUGGCGGGCAGGAUAAUCCCGUAAAACUGUCCAACUUAAAAAACAAACGACAACAAUAAAGUUGCUCUUGCAGCGUAAGCUGUGAUGCGGCAUUAACGCCGCCCGUACCGUGAGAGAGGACUACGGCUCUCACCGUGCGUCAAAUCAGUAGUGAACAUGAAUCGAGAUUUCGCUCUUGUAUCGGUCAUGCACAAAAGGGCUACCCGACUGAUAGCCUGUCUAUCGGCGCUCACGAGGGGAAUUUCAAAGGAUAAGACUGCCCACGGAGAAGGUUAUAUCAAGAGGUUUUUGGACACGGGUUCGAUUCCCGUCGGCUCCACCA